GAUGAACGCUGGCGGCGUGCCUAAUACAUGCAAGUCGAGCGAACGGACGAGAAGCUUGCUUCUCUGAUGUUAGCGGCGGACGGGUGAGUAACACGUGGAUACCCUACCUAUAAGACUGGGAUAACUUCGGGAAACCGGCGCUAAUACCGGAUAAUAUUUUGAACCGCAUGGUUCAAAAGUAAAAGACGGUCUUGCUGUCACUUAUAGAUGGAUCCGCGCUGCAUUAGCUAGUUGGUAAGGUAACGGCUUAUCAAGGCAACGAUGCAUAGCCGACCUGAGAGGGUGAUCGGCCACACUAGAACUGAGACACGGUCCAGACUCCUACGGGAGGCAGCAGUAGGGAAUCUGCCGCAAUGGGCGAAAGCCUGACGGAGCAACGCCGCGUGAGUUAUGAAGGUCUUCGGAGCGUAAAGCUCUGUUAUUAGGGAAGAACAUAUGUGUAAGUAACUGUGCACAUCUUGACGGUACCUAAUCAGAAAGCCACGGCUAACUACGUG
rnacentral:rRNA from 1 species